UCGAGCCUAAUCGUCAGUGUAUGGAUUUUAACCUCUGGCCCUCUGGUGAAGGAAAAGAAACUUAUAUGUAUAUGUGUGGUAAAAGAGAGCGAGCUCACUGACGAACACUGUGAGAGGUCUUCACGUUGAAAUGGAGAAACCUACUCUGACUCCAGAACACAUGAGGAAGUAAUUUUUUUUAAUUUAUUGAAGAUUUUGACAGGCAAAUGACAGUAUCAUGCUGAAGGGGAUUUUCCCCCACUGUUUUGAUGGGAUCCAGUAUCGGGACAGGCUGGUGCCUCGGGUCUUAACCGCAUGAACAGCUGGCGAUGAGAGAAGCGAACUGACGAACAAACUGCGGUUCACUUUUUUCUCGACUUUCACAUUGACUCUUUUGGAUGUUGCCAAGAGGAAAACAAUAGAACUAGCUGCCAGUCCAAAGCCCCCCUUACGGAGUUAUUCAUGGCUCCAUUUGGUAAAGGGACUAUAUUUAUACAUCCCUGGUCUUAUCGACCAUUCAGUGCGCUCACAAGUCACAUUCACCCAUUUGUUCAGCGCUGCUAUAUAUCAUAAAAUAAUAUAGUCAUACACCGUCGUCAGAGACAAGUUAAGCGUCUUGCCCCAAGUGCACUUCGGCACUGGGGGGAGCAGGGAUUGAGCCACUGGACGACCUCUCGACCUCCUGAGCCACGGCCUCCCUUUUGUCUACAGUGCCUGCUAUUUCUUUCAGCCUUGGAUGAUGUUGCUUCUCUCUGCUUCACAACACUUGACACCAGGUGCAAUGUUACACCCUUGUUACGGGCAUGAUGCAGACGACGUUUCAUUUCACGAGGAAGGGAGAAACGUUCGUUGUUUUAAAAAAAUAGGCUUUUCUUUAUUUCAAGAAAACACUUUAAUUUUGAUACUCAGCAAUCAAACACUAUUGGUCACGUCAUCCCAACACCACAGAGUAUUUAGUUUUUAGUACGCAAACACUUUGGUAGAUAGACACUAGUAUCCUUUUAUGAUAUUUUAUUUAAGUAUUAAAAAUAAAGUAAAAUACCAUGUGUGUGUGUGUUCUCUCGCUCUUAUUUAUCAUUUGUUUGCACAAAUACGUCAUAGCAACUGUCAUCUCAGUUUGUGUGACAACAUUUCUCAUUAACAAAUACAGAUUAAAUUGAAGUUCAACAUAUUGCCCUCUGCACAAUUGAUGAUAA